CGAUGGCGACCGGCGCACGGGUGAGUAACGCGUAUGCAACCUGCCCGAUACCGGGGUAUAGCCCAUGGAAACGUGGAUUAACACCCCAUAGUACUUUUAUCCUGCCUGGGAUGGGAGUUAAAUGUUCAAGGUAUCGGAUGGGCAUGCGUCCUAUUAGUUAGUUGGCGGGGUAACAGCCCACCAAGACGAUGAUAGGUAAGGGUUCUGAGAGGAAGGUCCCCCACAUUGGAACUGAGACACGGUCCAA
rnacentral:rRNA from 1 species